UAUGCAUACUAUUAUAAGGAAGAAAGGGUUAUAGGCAGAGAUGAUGGUCUGCAGAGGACAGUUGCAUGAGGAAAGAUUCUGGAAUGUUGAAAAGGAAGGUUUGAGUUGAGAACUCAGGAGCUGAGAGUCUCUCUGAGGGUUUGCUAACUGUAAAUACCUGGAAGGAUUUGCUGCCAAAUACUUGAUGGAGUUCCUGUACCUGUCCUUGUUGUUGAUAUCUGUGUUUCCCUUGGAAGAUCUUUGAACCUGAAGCUAGCCUGAAACAACAUCCAGUCAUCAGUAGCAGUCAGAAGACUUAAUGAUUCUUCAAAUUAUUUAGUCAAUGACAAACCAGAAAAAAAGUGACUUCAUCUCAAUCAAAGUGGAUGGGGUGAUGAAGAAAUGGAAGCAAACAGAGGUGAAGUGAUUUAUCCAAGGUCACACGCAGUAAGUGCCUGAAGUGAGAUUUGAAUUCUGGCCUUCCUAACAAUCUAAUUCCUAGGUUUGAGGUCUCAUUAUCCAUACCCAUACAUGACAACUAAUCAACUGACAAACAUGUUU
rnacentral:lncRNA from 1 species